rnacentral:piRNA from 1 species
UCGAAACCUGACAUGAAUGAUUGUGGAAGC